rnacentral:rRNA from 1 species
GCGAGCUUAACCGAAUAGGGUAGGCGAAGCGAAAGCGAGUCUGAAUAGGGCGAUUCAGUAGCUGGGCGUAGACCCGAAACCGGAUGAUCUACUCAUGGCCAGGAUGAAGCGGGGGUAACACCUCGUGGAGGUACCGAACCCACUAGUGUUAGAAAAACUAGGGGAUGAGCUGUGGGUAGGGGUGAAAGGCUAAAACAAAUCCGGAAAAUAGCUGGUUCUCUCCGAAAGCUAUUUAGGUAGCGCCUCGUGUAUCACUCUUGGGGGUAGAGCACUGUCAUGGCUAGGGGGCCGCUUAAGGCUUACCAAACCAUAGCAAACUCCGAAUACCGAGAAGUGCAAUCACGGGAGACAGACAUCGGGGUGCUAACGUCCGGUGUCAAGAGGGAAACAACCCAGACCGCCAGCUAAGGUCCCAAAUGACACGCUAAGUGGAAAACGAAGUGGGAAGGCUUAGACAGCCAGGAGGUUGGCUUAGAAGCAGCCACCCUUUAAAGAAAGCGUAAUAGCUCACUGGUCGAGUCGUCCUGCGCGGAAGAUGUAACGGGG